rnacentral:rRNA from 1 species
GAUGAACGCUAGCGACAGGCUUAACACAUGCAAGUCGAGGGGCAGCAUAGAAGUAGCAAUACUUUGGUGGCGACCGGCGCACGGGUGAGUAACGCGUAUGCAACCUACCUAUCAGAGGGGACUAACCCGGCGACAGUCGGACUAAUACCGCAUAAAACAGGGGCACCGCAUGGUGAUAGUUGUUACAGAAAUUCGCAGAUAGAUGGGCAUGCGUUCCAUUAGGUAGUUGGUGAGGUAACGGCUCACCAAGCCGACGAUGGAUAGGGGAACUGAGAGGUUGGUCCCCCACACUGGUACUGAGACACGGACCAGACUCCUACGGGAGGCAGCAGUGAGGAAUAUUGGUCAAUGGGCGGGAGCCUGAACCAGCCAAGUCGCGUGAAGGAAGAAGGAUCUAUGGUUCGUAAACUUCUUUUGCAGGGGAAUAAAGUUCAGGACGUGUCCUGUUUUGUAUGUACCCUGAGAAUAAGGAUCGGCUAACUCCGUGCCAGCAGCCGCGGUAACAC